rnacentral:tRNA from 1 species
GGCUGGUUAGCUCAGUCGGUUGAGCGUGGUGCUGAUAACACCAAGGUCGUGGGUUCGAUCCCUGCUCGACCCC